UACGUAGGGGGCUAGCGUUAUCCGGAAUUACUGGGCGUAAAGGGUGCGUAGGUGGUUUCUUAAGCCAGAGGUGAAAGGCUACGGCUCAACCGUAGUAAGCCUUUGAAACUGGGAAACUUGAGUGCAGGAGAGGAGAGUGGAAUUCCUAGUGUAGCGGUGAAAUGCGUAGAUAUUAGGAGGAACACCAGUUGCGAAGGCGGCUCUCUGGACUGUAACUGACACUGAGGCACGAAAGCGUGGGGAGCAAACAGGAUUAGAUACCCGUGUAGUCCCUGAG
rnacentral:rRNA from 1 species